GGGUUGUGAGGUUAAGCGACUAAGCGUACACGGUGGAUGCCCUGGCAGUCAGAGGCGAUGAAGGACGUGCUAAUCUGCGAUAAGCGUCGGUAAGGUGAUAUGAACCGUUAUAACCGGCGAUUUCCGAAUGGGGAAACCCAGUGUGUUUCGACACACUAUCAUUAACUGAAUCCAUAGGUUAAUGAGGCGAACCGGGGGAACUGAAACAUCUAAGUACCCCGAGGAAAAGAAAUCAACCGAGAUUCCCCCAGUAGCGGCGAGCGAACGGGGAGGAGCCCAGAGCCUGAAUCAGUGUGUGUGUUAGUGGAAGCGUCUGGAAAGGCGCGCGAUACAGGGUGACAGCCCCGUACACAAAAAUGCACAUAUUGUGAGCUCGAUGAGUAGGGCGGGACACGUGGUAUCCUGUCUGAAUAUGGGGGGACCAUCCUCCAAGGCUAAAUACUCCUGACUGACCGAUAGUGAACCAGUACCGUGAGGGAAAGGCGAAAAGAACCCCGGCGAGGGGAGUGAAAAAGAACCUGAAACCGUGUACGUACAAGCAGUGGGAGCCUCUUUUAUGGGGUGACUGCGUACCUUUUGUAUAAUGGGUCAGCGACUUAUAUUCUGUAGCAAGGUUAACCGAAUAGGGGAGCCGAAGGGAAACCGAGUCUUAACUGGGCGUUAAGUUGCAGGGUAUAGACCCGAAACCCGGUGAUCUAGCCAUGGGCAGGUUGAAGGUUGGGUAACACUAACUGGAGGACCGAACCGACUAAUGUUGAAAAAUUAGCGGAUGACUUGUGGCUGGGGGUGAAAGGCCAAUCAAACCGGGAGAUAGCUGGUUCUCCCCGAAAGCUAUUUAGGUAGCGCCUCGUGAACUCAUCUCCGGGGGUAGAGCACUGUUUCGGCAAGGGGGUCAUCCCGACUUACCAACCCGAUGCAAACUGCGAAUACCGGAGAAUGUUAUCACGGGAGACACACGGCGGGUGCUAACGUCCGUCGUGAAGAGGGAAACAACCCAGACCGCCAGCUAAGGUCCCAAAGUCAUGGUUAAGUGGGAAACGAUGUGGGAAGGCCCAGACAGCCAGGAUGUUGGCUUAGAAGCAGCCAUCAUUUAAAGAAAGCGUAAUAGCUCACUGGUCGAGUCGGCCUGCGCGGAAGAUGUAACGGGGCUAAACCAUGCACCGAAGCUGCGGCAGCGACACUAUGUGUUGUUGGGUAGGGGAGCGUUCUGUAAGCCUGUGAAGGUGUACUGUGAGGUAUGCUGGAGGUAUCAGAAGUGCGAAUGCUGACAUAAGUAACGAUAAAGCGGGUGAAAAGCCCGCUCGCCGGAAGACCAAGGGUUCCUGUCCAACGUUAAUCGGGGCAGGGUGAGUCGACCCCUAAGGCGAGGCCGAAAGGCGUAGUCGAUGGGAAACAGGUUAAUAUUCCUGUACUUGGUGUUACUGCGAAGGGGGGACGGAGAAGGCUAUGUUGGCCGGGCGACGGUUGUCCCGGUUUAAGCGUGUAGGCUGGUUUUCCAGGCAAAUCCGGAAAAUCAAGGCUGAGGCGUGAUGACGAGGCACUACGGUGCUGAAGCAACAAAUGCCCUGCUUCCAGGAAAAGCCUCUAAGCAUCAGGUAACAUCAAAUCGUACCCCAAACCGACACAGGUGGUCAGGUAGAGAAUACCAAGGCGCUUGAGAGAACUCGGGUGAAGGAACUAGGCAAAAUGGUGCCGUAACUUCGGGAGAAGGCACGCUGAUAUGUAGGUGAAGUCCCUCGCGGAUGGAGCUGAAAUCAGUCGAAGAUACCAGCUGGCUGCAACUGUUUAUUAAAAACACAGCACUGUGCAAACACGAAAGUGGACGUAUACGGUGUGACGCCUGCCCGGUGCCGGAAGGUUAAUUGAUGGGGUCAGCGCAAGCGAAGCUCUUGAUCGAAGCCCCGGUAAACGGCGGCCGUAACUAUAACGGUCCUAAGGUAGCGAAAUUCCUUGUCGGGUAAGUUCCGACCUGCACGAAUGGCGUAAUGAUGGCCAGGCUGUCUCCACCCGAGACUCAGUGAAAUUGAACUCGCUGUGAAGAUGCAGUGUACCCGCGGCAAGACGGAAAGACCCCGUGAACCUUUACUAUAGCUUGACACUGAACAUUGAGCCUUGAUGUGUAGGAUAGGUGGGAGGCUUAGAAGUGUGGACGCCAGUCUGCAUGGAGCCGACCUUGAAAUACCACCCUUUAAUGUUUGAUGUUCUAACGUUGACCCGUGAUCCGGGUUGCGGACAGUGUCUGGUGGGUAGUUUGACUGGGGCGGUCUCCUCCUAAAGAGUAACGGAGGAGCACGAAGGUUGGCUAAUCCUGGUCGGACAUCAGGAGGUUAGUGCAAUGGCAUAAGCCAGCUUGACUGCGAGCGUGACGGCGCGAGCAGGUGCGAAAGCAGGUCAUAGUGAUCCGGUGGUUCUGAAUGGAAGGGCCAUCGCUCAACGGAUAAAAGGUACUCCGGGGAUAACAGGCUGAUACCGCCCAAGAGUUCAUAUCGACGGCGGUGUUUGGCACCUCGAUGUCGGCUCAUCACAUCCUGGGGCUGAAGUAGGUCCCAAGGGUAUGGCUGUUCGCCAUUUAAAGUGGUACGCGAGCUGGGUUUAGAACGUCGUGAGACAGUUCGGUCCCUAUCUGCCGUGGGCGCUGGAGAACUGAGGGGGGCUGCUCCUAGUACGAGAGGACCGGAGUGGACGCAUCACUGGUGUUCGGGUUGUCAUGCCAAUGGCACUGCCCGGUAGCUAAAUGCGGAAGAGAUAAGUGCUGAAAGCAUCUAAGCACGAAACUUGCCCCGAGAUGAGUUCUCCCUGACCCUUUAAGGGUCCUGAAGGAACGUUGAAGACGACGACGUUGAUAGGCCGGGUGUGUAAGCGCAGCGAUGCGUUGAGCUAACCGGUACUAAUGAACCGUGAGGCUUAACCUUACAACGCCGAAGCUGUU
rnacentral:rRNA from 1 species